AGUGAACGCUGGCGGUAGGCCUAACACAUGCAAGUCGAACGGCAGCACAGUAAGAGCUUGCUCUUACGGGUGGCGAGUGGCGGACGAGUGAGGAAUACAUCGGAAUCUACUUUUUCGUGGGGGAUAACGUAGGGAAACUUACGCUAAUACCGCAUACGACCUACGGGUGAAAGCAGGGGAUCUUCGGACCUUGCGCGAUUGAAUGAGCCGAUGUCGGAUUAGCUAGUUGGCGGGGUAAAGGCCCACCAAGGCGACGAUCCGUAGCUGGUCUGAGAGGAUGAUCAGCCAAACUGGAAAUGAGACACGGUCCAGACUCCUACGGGAGGCAGCAGUGGGGAAUAUUGGACAAUGGGCGCAAGCCUGAUCCAGCCAUACCGCGUGGGUGAAGAAGGCCUUCGGGUUGUAAAGCCCUUUUGUUGGGAAAGAAAAGCAGCAGGUUAAUACCCCGCUGUUCUGACGGUACCCAAAGAAUAAGCACCGGCUAACUUCGUG
rnacentral:rRNA from 1 species